rnacentral:rRNA from 1 species
AGGGCACACGGAGGCUGCCCGGGCGCCGGAAGACGAAGAAGGACGCAGUGAGCUGCGAAAAGCCGUGGGGAGUCGCAAACAGACGUUAUAUCCACGGAUGUCCGAAUGGGGGAACCCACAAGGAGUCAUAUCCUUGUAUCCCACAAUGAAUACAUAGUUGUGAGGAAGUCAGACCAGGGGAACUGAAACAUCUAAGUACCCUGAGGAAAAGAAAAUAAAAAAUGAUAUCCUAAGUAGCGGCGAGCGAACGGGAUAGAGUCUAAACCAAACAUGUGUCAAGGGAGUACCCGUUGCAUGGUUGGGGUUGCGGGAAUCGUCAGCAGAGAGUACUAGCUCUGCAAGGAGUAAGAAAACCUGACAUCAGAAGAACAGGAAGGAAGGCCUGGCCAAAGAGCGUGACAGCCGCGUAAUCGAAGAUGAAAGGACUCCUGACGGUCACCCAAGUACCACGGGACACGAGAAACCCCGUGGGAAUCAAUGAGGACCACCUCAUAAGACUAAAUACUAGCCGGCGACCGAUAGAGAAAAAGUACCGUGAGGGAAAGGUGAAAAGAACCUCGGAAGAGGAGUGAAAGAGAACCUAAAACCGUGUGUCUACAAGCAGUCGAAGCACCAUAAGAAGUGCGACGGCGUGCCUAUUGAAGAAUGAGCCAGCGAGUUACGGUAUCAAGCAAGGUUAAGGACUUCAGGUCCGGAGCCGCAGCGAAAGCGAGUCUGAAAAGGGCGAAAGAGUAUGAUAACGUAGACCCGAAACUGCAGUGAUCUAUGCAUGGACAGAGUGAAGCGUAAGUAAAGAUACGUGGAGGCUCGAACCACAUUGAUGUUGAAAAAUCAUGGGAUGAGCUGUGCAUAGGGGUGAAAUGCCAAUCGAACGCAGAGAUAGCUGGUUCUCCCCGAAAUAGCUUUAGGGCUAGCCUCGUAUGAAAGAUUUGUCGGAGGUAAAGCACUAAUUGGACUAGGGGUCUCACCGGAUUACCGAACCCAGUUAAACUCUGAAUGCCGACAAAUAGUCAGCGGGAGUCAGACAGUGUGGGCUAAGCUACAUUGUCAAGAGGGAAAAAGCCCAGACCUACAGCUAAGGUCCCCAAAAUGAACUAAGUGGAAAAGGAUGUAGAAUUGCAAAAACAACCAGGAAGUUGGCUCAGAAGCAGCCAUCCUUUAAAGAGUGCGUAAUAGCUCACUGGUCGAGUGAUUCCGCGCCGAAAAUGAUCGGGGCUAAGUUCAUUACCGAAGCUGAGGAAUGUGUAUCAAGGAUACACAUUGGUAGGGGAGCGAUCUCAUAGAGGGAGAAGCGUGACCGUAAGGACACGUGGACGAAUGAGAAGAGAGAAUGCUGGCAUGAGUAACGAAAAGACAGGUGAGAAUCCUGUCCGCCGAAAACCUAAGGUUUCCUGAGGAAGGUUCGUCCGCUCAGGGUAAGUCGGGACCUAAGCCGAGGCUGAGAAGCGUAGGCGAUGGACAACGGGUGGAAAGUCCCGUACCACUGCAAAUCGUUAAUACCAAUGGGGAGACGCAGGAAGUUCAGUCGAGCGUGUGACCGGAAGAAACACGUCCAAGCACCGAGUUUGUUGAGGGAGGCAAAUCCCCCUCAGCGAGUAGAUGAGGUGUGAUGGGGAGCGAAAUUAAGUAGUGAAGCGACGAGAAUUACACUGACAAGAAAAACCUCUAGGGAGAAAUGCAGUGCCCGUACCGUAAACCGACACAGGUGGGUGAGGAGAGAAUCCUAAGGCGCGCGAGAGAACCCUCGUUAAGGAACUCGGCAAAAUGACUCCGUAACUUCGGGAGAAGGAGUGCCAUGAGUUGAAUCAUGGUCGCAGAUAAGAGGCCCAAGCGACUGUUUAACAAAAACACAGGUCUGUGCGAAAUCGAGAGAUGAAGUAUACGGGCUGACGCCUGCCCGGUGCUGGAAGGUUAAGGGGAGAGCUUAGCGGGAAACCGCGAAGGUUUGAACCGAAGCCCCAGUAAACGGCGGCCGUAACUAUAACGGUCCUAAGGUAGCGAAAUUCCUUGUCGGGUAAGUUCCGACCCGCACGAAUGGCGUAACGACUUGGGCACUGUCUCAACGAGGGACUCGGUGAAAUUGAAAUACCUGUGAAGAUGCAGGUUACCCGCGACUGGACAUAAAGACCCCGUAGAGCUUUACUGUAACUUGAUAUUGGAUUUUGGUGAAUAAUGAACAGGAUAGGUGGGAGUCGGAGAAGGCGAAUCGUCAGGUUGGCCGGAGACGUCGGUGGGAUACCACCCUUUGUUCAUUGAAAUUCUAACUAAUCACCAUGAAACUGGUGAUAGGACCGUGUCAGGUGGACAGUUUGACUGGGGCGGUCGCCUCCCAAAAAGUAACGGAGGCGCCCAAAGGUUUCCUCAGCGCGAAUGGGAAUCGCGCGCAGAGUGCAAUGGCAAAAGGAAGCUUCACUGCGAGACAAACAAGUCGAGCAGGGACGAAAGUCGGGCAUAGUGAUCCGGUGGUCCUGAGUGGAAGGGCCAUCGCUCAACGGAUAAAAGCUACCUCGGGGAUAACAGGCUGAUCUCCCCCAAGAGUCCACAUCGACGGGGAGGUUUGGCACCUCGAUGUCGGCUCAUCGCAUCCUGGGGCUGAAGCAGGUCCCAAGGGUUCGGCUGUUCGCCGAUUAAAGCGGUACGUGAGCUGGGUUCAGAACGUCGUGAGACAGUUCGGUCCAUAUCCGUCGUGGGCGCAGGAGAUUUGAGAGGAUCUGUCCUUAGUACGAGAGGACCGGGAUGGACGAACCGCUGGUGUAUGAGUUGUUCCGCCAGGAGCAGAGCUCAGUAGCCAAGUUCGGAAUGGAUAAACGCUGAAAGCAUCUAAGCGUGAAACCAGCCUCAAGAUAAGAUCUCCCACAGAGUUAAUCUGGU